GUCAUAGAUGAACUCUUGGAUGAACUGCAUGGGGCACAGUGGUUUACCAAGCUGGAUCUCAGGGCUGGUUACCACCAAAUAAGAUUAGCCCCUGGAGAAGAAUACAAAACAGCUUUUCAAACCCAUCAUGGACACUUUGAAUUUUUGGUGGUGGGUUUUGGUCUGACAGGAGCACCAAAUACUUUUCAAGGGGCCAUAAAUGUAUCCUUAUCAGAGGAACCUGAAAUGUUGAGGCAUUUUGUGAUAGCUUUCUUUGGUGACAUCCUUGUUUUCAGUAAAACACUGGAACGACACUUAGAACAUGUCAGAAGAGUGUUGCAGGUACUGAGAAGGGAUAAAUGGUAUGUGAAGCUAUCCAAGUGUGAAUUUUCUUCU
rnacentral:rRNA from 1 species